GGGGUCUGGCGGCGUGCUAUACAUGCAAGUCGAGCGAACAGACGAGGAGCUUGCUCCUCUGACGUUAGCGGCGGACGGGUGAGUAACACGUGGAUAACCUACCUAUAAGACUGGGAUAACUUCGGGAAACCGGAGCUAAUACCGGAUAAUAUAUUGAACCGCAUGGUUCAAUAGUGAAAGACGGUUUUGCUGUCACUUAUAGAUGGAUCCGCGCCGCAUUAGCUAGUUGGUAAGGUAACGGCUUACCAAGGCAACGAUGCGUAGCCGACCUGAGAGGGUGAUCGGCCACACUGGAACUGAGACACGGUCCAGACUCCUACGGGAGGCAGCAGUAGGGAAUCUUCCGCAAUGGGCGAAAGCCUGACGGAGCAACGCCGCGUGAGUGAUGAAGGUCUUCGGAUCGUAAAACUCUGUUAUUAGGGAAGAACAAAUGUGUAAGUAACUAUGCACGUCUUGACGGUACCUAAUCAGAAAGCCACGGCUAACUACGUGCCAGCAGCCGCGGUAAUACGUAGGUGGCAAGCGUUAUCCGGAAUUAUUGGGCGUAAAGCGCGCGUAGGCGGUUUUUUAAGUCUGAUGUGAAAGCCCACGGCUCAACCGUGGAGGGUCAUUGGAAACUGGAAAACUUGAGUGCAGAAGAGGAAAGUGGAAUUCCAUGUGUAGCGGUGAAAUGCGCAGAGAUAUGGAGGAACACCAGUGGCGAAGGCGACUUUCUGGUCUGUAACUGACGCUGAUGUGCGAAAGCGUGGGGAUCAAACAGGAUUAGAUACCCUGGUAGUCCACGCCGUAAACGAUGAGUGCUAAGUGUUAGGGGGUUUCCGCCCCUUAGUGCUGCAGCUAACGCAUUAAGCACUCCGCCUGGGGGAGUACGACCGCAAGGUUGAAACUCAAAGGAAUUGACGGGGACCCGCACAAGCGGUGGAGCAUGUGGUUUAAUUCGAAGCAACGCGAAGAACCUUACCAAAUCUUGACAUCCUCUGACCCCUCUAGAGAUAGAGUUUUCCCCUUCGGGGGACAGAGUGACAGGUGGUGCAUGGUUGUCGUCAGCUCGUGUCGUGAGAUGUUGGGUUAAGUCCCGCAACGAGCGCAACCCUUAAGCUUAGUUGCCAUCAUUAAGUUGGGCACUCUAAGUUGACUGCCGGUGACAAACCGGAGGAAGGUGGGGAUGACGUCAAAUCAUCAUGCCCCUUAUGA
rnacentral:rRNA from 1 species